rnacentral:rRNA from 1 species
CAGCAGCCGCGGUAAGACGUAGGGGGCUAGCGUUGUCCGGAAUUACUGGGCGUAAAGGGCGCGCAGGCGGCUUGGUAAGUUACUCGUGAAAAGCACUGGCUCAACUGGUGUCUUGCGGGUAAAACUGCUGAGCUUGAGUGCAGUAGAGGGAAGUGGAAUUCCUAGUGUAGCGGUGAAAUGCGUAGAUAUUAGGAAGAACACCAGUGGCGAAGGCGGCUUUCUGGGCUGCAACUGACGCUGAGGCGCGAAAGCUGGGGGAGCGAACGGGAUUAGAUACCCCGGUAGUCCCAGCCGUAAACUAUGUUCACUAGGUGUAGGAGGUAUCGACCCCUUCUGUGCCGAAGCAAACGCAUUAAGUGAACCGCCUGGGGAGUACGUCCGCAAGGAUGAAACUCAAAGGAAUUGACGGGGGCCCGCACAAGCGGUGGAGUAUGUGGUUUAAUUCGAUGCAACGCGAAGAACCUUACCAGGACUUGACAUGUAGACAAAAGCCAAUGGAAACGUAGGUGUUCAUCUUCGGAUGAGGUUUACACAGGUGGUGCAUGGCC